AUUGAACGCUGGCGGCAGGCUUAACACAUGCAAGUCGAGCGGGGGAAGGUAGCUUGCUACCGGACCUAGCGGCGGACGGGUGAGUAAUGCUUAGGGAUCUGCCUAUUAGUGGGGGACAACAUCUCGAAAGGGAUGCUAAUACCGCAUACGUCCUACGGGAGAAAGCAGGGGAUCUUCGGACCUUGCGCUAAUAGAUGAGCCUAAGUCGGAUUAGCUAGUUGGUGGGGUAAAGGCCUACCAAGGCGACGAUCUGUAGCGGGUCUGAGAGGAUGAUCCGCCACACUGGGACUGAGACACGGCCCAGACUCCUACGGGAGGCAGCAGUGGGGAAUAUUGGACAAUGGGGGGAACCCUGAUCCAGCCAUGCCGCGUGUGUGAAGAAGGCCUUAUGGUUGUAAAGCACUUUAAGCGAGGAGGAGGCUACUUUAGUUAAUACCUAGAGAUAGUGGACGUUACUCGCAGAAUAAGCACCGGCUAGCUCUGUGCCAGCCGCCGCCGUAA
rnacentral:rRNA from 1 species